UACGAAGGGGGCUAGCGUUGCUCGGAAUCACUGGGCGUAAAGCGCACGUAGGCGGAUCUUUAAGUCAGGGGUGAAAUCCUGGAGCUCAACUCCAGAACUGCCUUUGAUACUGGGGAUCUCGAGUCCGGAAGAGGUGAGUGGAACUCCGAGUGUAGAGGUGAAAUUCGUAGAUAUUCGGAAGAACACCAGUGGCGAAGGCGGCUCACUGGUCCGGUUCUGACGCUGAGGCGCGAAAGCGUGGGGAGCAUACAGG
rnacentral:rRNA from 1 species